rnacentral:rRNA from 1 species
GACGAACGCUGGCGGCGUGCCUAAUACAUGCAAGUAGAACGCACAGUUUAUACCGUAGCUUGCUAAACCAUAAACUGUGAGUUACGAACGGGUGAGUAACCCGUAGGUAACCUUCCUGGUAGCGGGGGAUAACUAUUGGUACCGAUAGCUAAUACCGCAUAUUAUUGAUUAUUGCAUGAUAAUUCAUUGAAAGAUGCUAUUGCUUCACUACCAGAUGGACCUGCGUUGGAUUAGCUAGUAGGUGAGGUAACGGCUCACCUAGGCGACGAUACAUAGCCGACCUGAGAGGGAGGUCGGCCAAACUGGGACUGAGAAACGGCCCAGACUCCUACGGGAGGCAGCAGGAGGGAAUCUUCGGAAAUGGAGGAAAAGCUGACCGAGCAACGCCGGGUGAGUGAAGAAGGUUUUCGGAUCGUAAAGCUCUGUUGUAAGAGAAGAACGGGUGUGAGAGUGGAAAGUUCACACUGUGACGGUAUCUUACCAGAAAGGGACGGCUAACUACGUG